rnacentral:lncRNA from 1 species
GGGAAUGGAAGACAUCGACAAUGUUUUAGUCACUUGUCAACCACAAGCAGCAUGGACUUGGUUCAUAUGGCAGCCACACAGAUGCUCGGAAACACCUUAACGACACAUCGGAGAAAACUUCUCAAGUGGGCUCCGCUUGGUUUUUUUUUCCUUUCCUCCCCCCUCAACUCCGGAGCUAGCUGCUGUGUGUGCUGCACGCAUUAGGGAAAGGCCCA